UGCCUCUCGAAUUAACAUGAGAGGUCCCUCCUGCCCAGUGAAAAAUUUUUCAACGGCCGCGGUAUCCUAACCGUGCAAAGGUAGCAUAAUCACUUGCCUAUUAAUUGUAGGCUAGAAUGAACGGAUAAACGAAAUAAGCCCUGUCUCAAUUAAAUUAGAUAAAAACUAUAUUCUAAAUGAAGAUAUUUAGAUAAAAACGAAGGACAAGAAGACCCUAUAGAGCUUUAUAUUAUUCUAAGAGAAAAAAAACUCUAAACAUAUUCGGUUGGGGCGACCAAGGAUAUAAAAAUCAUCCUAAAUUUCAAGAUUUAUAAAUCUCUAUAAAGACCCUUAUUAAAGAUCUUAAGAACAAGCUACCUUAGGGAUAACAGGCUAAUCUCAUUAAAGAGUCCUUAUCUACAAUGUGGGUUGGCACCUCGAUGUUGGCUUAGGGUAUCAAUAUGGCGCAAAAGUCAUAAUACGAUGGUUUGUUCAACCAAUAAUUCCU
rnacentral:rRNA from 1 species